CCCAAUAGGGAACGUGAGCUGGGUUUAGAACGUCAGGCUAGUUUUACCCUACUGAUGGG
rnacentral:rRNA from 1 species